GAUGAACGCUGACAGAAUGCUUAACACAUGCAAGUCCACUUGAAUUUGGGUUUUUUAACUUAGAUUUGGGUGGCGGACGGGUGAGUAACGCGUAAAGAACUUGCCUCACAGCUAGGGACAACAUUUGGAAACGAAUGCUAAUACCUGAUAUUAUGAUUAUAAGGCAUCUUAGAAUUAUGAAAGCUAUAUGCGCUGUGAGAGAGCUUUGCGUCCCAUUAGCUAGUUGGAGAGGUAACGGCUCACCAAGGCGAUGAUGGGUAGCCGGCCUGAGAGGGUGAACGGCCACAAGGGGACUGAGACACGGCCCUUACUCCUACGGGAGGCAACAGUGGGGAAUAUUGGACAAUGGACCAAGAGUCUGAUCCAGCAAUUCUGUGUGCACGAUGACGUUUUUCGGAAUGUAAAGUGCUUUCAGUUGGGAAGAAAAAGAUGACGGUACCAACAGAAGAAGUGACGGCUAAAUACGUG
rnacentral:rRNA from 1 species